UACGUAGGGUGCAAGCGUUAAUCGGAAUUACUGGGCGUAAAGCGUGCGCAGGCGGUUUUGUAAGUCAGAUGUGAAAUCCCCGGGCUUAACCUGGGAACUGCGUUUGAAGCUACAAGGCUAGAGUGUGGCAGAGGGGGGUGGAAUUCCACGUGUAGCAGUGAAAUGCGUAGAGAUGUGGAGGAACACCGAUGGCGAAGGCAGCCCCCUGGGAUGAUACUGACGCUCAUGCACGAAAGCGUGGGGAGCAAACAGG
rnacentral:rRNA from 1 species